UACAGAGGUCCCAAGCGUUGUUCGGAUUCACUGGGCGUAAAGGGUGCGUAGGUGGUUCUGCAAGUCUGAUGUGAAAUCUCCGGGCUUAACCCGGAAAUGGCAUUGGAAACUGCAGGGCUAGAGUGCAGGAGAGAAGAGUGGAAUUCCACGUGUAGCGGUGAAAUGCGUAGAGAUGUGGAGGAACACCAGUGGCGAAGGCGACUCUUUGGCCUGUAACUGACACUGAGGCGCGAAAGCGUGGGGAGCAAACAGG
rnacentral:rRNA from 1 species